rnacentral:rRNA from 1 species
GACGAACGCUGGCGGCGUGCUUAACACAUGCAAGUCGAACGGUGAUGCUCCAGCUUGCUGGCGUGGAUCAGUGGCGAACGGGUGAGUAACACGUGAGCAACCUGCCCCAGACUCUGGAAUAAGCGCUGGAAACGGCGUCUAAUACUGGAUACGAAACUGGCCCGCAUGGGCAUGGUUUGGAAAGUUCUUCGGUUUGGGAUGGGCUCGCGGCCUAUCAGCUUGUUGGUGAGGUAAUGGCUCACCAAGGCGACGACGGGUAGCCGGCCUGAGAGGGCGACCGGCCACACUGGGACUGAGACACGGCCCAGACUCCUACGGGAGGCAGCAGUGGGGAAUAUUGCACAAUGGGCGAAAGCCUGAUGCAGCGACGCCGCGUGAGGGAUGACGGCCUUCGGGUUGUAAACCUCUUUCAGCAGGGAAGAAGCGAAAGUGACGGUACCUGCAGAAGAAGCACCGGCUAACUACGUG